CUGCAGGUCGACGAUUCCUACGGGAGGCAGCAGUAAGGAAUAUUGGUCAAUGGACGAAAGUCUGAACCAGCCAUGCCGCGUGAAGGAUGAAGGCCCUCUGGGUUGUAAACUUCUUUUAUAGGGGACGAAAAAAGGGAAUUCCUUCCCACUUGACGGUACCCUAGGAAUAAGCACCGGCUAACUCCGUGCCAGCAGCCGCGGUAAUACGGAGGGUGCAAGCGUUAUCCGGAUUCACUGGGUUUAAAGGGUGCGUAGGCGGGCAGGUAAGUCAGUGGUGAAAUCCUAGAGCUCAACUCUAGAACUGCCAUUGAUACUAUCUGUCUUGAAUAUUGUGGAGGUAAGCGGAAUAUGUCAUGUAGCGGUGAAAUGCUUAGAUAUGACAUAGAACACCUAUUGCGAAGGCAGCUUACUACGCAUAUAUUGACGCUGAGACACGAAAGCGUGGGGAUCAAACAGGAUUAGAUACCCUGGUAGUCCACGCCCUAAACGAUGGAUACUCGACAUACGCGAUACACUGUGUGUGUCUGAGCGAAAGCAUUAAGUAUCCCACCUGGGAAGUACGUCCGCAAGGAUGAAACUCAAAGG
rnacentral:rRNA from 1 species